CCAGCAGCCGCGGUAAUUCCAGCUCCAAUAGCGUAUAUUAAAGUUGUUGCAGUUAAAAAGCUCGUAGUUGAAUUUCGGGGGUCAGUAGAUUGGUCGUGCCACUGGUAUGUACUGGUCUUACUGAUUCCUACUUCUUGACGAUCUGUAAUGUCAUUAAUUUGGUGUUGCAGGGAAUCAGGACUGUACUUGAAAAAAUUAGAGUGUUUAAAGCAAGCUAACGCUUGAAUACAUUAGCAUGGAAUAAUGAAAUAGGACGUUUGAUCCUAUUUUAGUUGGUUUCUAGGGAUCGACGUAAUGAUUAAUAGGGAUAGUUGGGGGCAUUAGUAUUCAAUUGUCAGAGGUGAAAUUCUUGGAUUUAUUGAAGACUAACUACUGCAAAGCAUUUGCCAAGGAUGUUUUCAUUAAUCAAGAACGAAAGUUAGGGGAUCGAAGACGAUCAGAUACCGUCGUAGUCUUAACCAUAAACUAUGCCGACUAGGGAUCGGGAUGAUGUUAAUUUUUUUAAUGACUCAUUCGGCGCCUUACG
rnacentral:rRNA from 1 species